rnacentral:rRNA from 1 species
UUUAAUUGAAAUUUAAUAAAUAAAUAAUAUAAUUAAAAUAAUAAUAAUUAAAAAAGAAGUUUUAGUAGUAAUAAUUUAAAAAAUAUUAAUUUUUAUAGAGAAAUAGUAUUGUAAUAGAAAAUUGAAAUAUUUAUGAAAUAUAAAAUAUUUAAAAAGUAAAUUUAAUUUAUUGUAUCUUUUGUAUCAGAGAUUAUUAAAAAUUUAAUUAAUAAAUUUAAUUAUUCUCAAAAUUUAAAGAUUUAAUUAAUUAAGUUAUUUAAUGUAGAAUUAUUAUUAAUAAUAAUUAAUUGGAAAUGAAAUGUUAAGCGUUUUAAAUAAUAUUUAGUUUUUUUAGAAAUAAAUUUAAUUUAUUUAUUUGAUUAUGGAGUUAUUUAUUUAAAGGUAAAUUUUAUUAAUUAAAUAAAAAUUUUUAAUGGGAUAAUCUUUUAAAAAUUAUUUAUAUAUAGUGUAAAGUAAUUUAUUUAAAAUUUAUAUAAAUAAAAUUUUUUUUUAUUUUUUAUUUUUAGUAAAAAAUUUUAUUUGAAGUUAUAUUUUAAUUUUAUAUUAAUUUAAAUUUAUAAAAAUUUUUAUUUAAAUAACUAAAAUAAUGUAAUUAUGGUAAUAUUAGUAUAUAAAAAUUUAAUUUAAGGUAUUAUAUAAAUUAAUAUUUUUAAGAUAAUUAAAAAAAAUUCGGCAAUAAUAUAUUCGCUUGUUUAUCAAAAACAUGUCUUUUUGUUUAAUAAUUUAAAGUCUAAUCUGCUCACUGAAAUAUAUGUAUUUAAAGAGCCGCAAUUAAUUGUGCAAAGGUAGCAUAAUCAAUAGUUUUUUAAUUGAAAACUGGUAUGAAUGAUUGGACGAAAUAUAUUCUGUUUCUUGAUUAUUAUAUAAAAUUUAUUUUUUUAAUGAAAAAAUUAAAAUAAUUUUAAAAGACGAGAAGACCCUAUAAAUCUUUAUAUUUUUUUAUAUAUGAUUAUUUAUAAAAAAGUAUUUUAUUGGGGUGAUAAAAAAAUUAAAUAAACUUUUAUAAUUUUAAUCAUUGAUUAAUGAAUUAUAUAUUUAUGAUCUAUUUUGAGUUAAUAAAUUAAGAUAAAGAUACUUUAGGGAUAACAGCGUAAUUUUAAUUUUUAGUUCUUAUAAAAAUUAAAGAUUGCGACCUCGAUGUUGGAUUAAAAUUUAUAUUAAAUGUAGAUGUUUAAAUAUUAGGUCUGUUCGACCUUUGAAAUUUUACAUGAUCUGAGUUCAAACCGGUGUAAGCCAGGUUGGUUUCUAUCUUUAAAUGUAAAUGAAAUUAAUUAGUACGAAAGGAUUAUUAAUUUAAAAGAUUUUUAGAAAAAGAUUAUUUAUAAUGAAUUAGUUUAUAAUAUA